UAAUUAGAUAUUAAAAAUUUAAUUUUCCCGAACUUAGAAGAGCUAGCUAGUUAUAUAUUUUAUUGUGGAAUAAAUAUUUAAAAUAAAUAGUUUGUAAUGAAACGUUAUUCGUUUCUAAAUAUAUCUGGUUUUUUUAGAAAUAGAUUUAAUCUACUUGGUUUAAUAUAAUUUUUUUAUUUAAUAAUUGUUUAUAUAAUCCAUGAAAUAUCUAAGGGGAUGAGCUUUUAGAUAAAACUUUAUAAAUAAAUAUUUUUUACAAUUAAAAUAGGAUUGGAAGUUUCCAUUUUUAAAAGGAUGUUAUAUUUAUUUUUGUUAUUUACAAUAUUUUUAUUUUUUUUAAGUUUUUUAUAAAAAUUUAUUAUUUAAUUUUUAUUUGUUAGUAAUAAUGAUAGAAUUAGUAUAAUUUUUUGUAUAAAUAAUUUUUGAUUUUUAGGUUAAUAAAAGGAACUCGGCAAAUGAUUUUUCACCUGUUUAUUAAAAACAUGGCCUUUUGAUUAUUAUUUAAGGUCUGGCCUGCCCACUGAG
rnacentral:rRNA from 1 species